rnacentral:tRNA from 1 species
GGAGAGUUACCCAAGCGGUCGAAGGGAGCAGGUUACUAUCCUGCCAGGCCAUCUUUUGAUGGUGCGGGGGUUCGAAUCCCUCACUCUCUG